AAGAGCUUGCUCUUAUGAAGUUAGCGGCGGACGGGUGAGUAACACGUGGGUAACCUGCCCAUAAGACUGGGAUAACUCCGGGAAACCGGGGCUAAUACCGGAUAACAUUUUGAACCGCAGGGUUCGAAAUUGAAAGGCGGCUUCGGCUGUCACUUAUGGAUGGACCCGCGUCGCAUUAGCUAGUUGGUGAGGUAACGGCUCACCAAGGCAACGAUGCGUAGCCGACCUGAGAGGGUGAUCGGCCACACUGGGACUGAAACACGGCCCAGACUCCUACGGGAGGCAGCAGUAGGGAAUCUUCCGCAAUGGACGAAAGUCUGACGGAGCAACGCCGCGUGAGUGAUGAAGGCUUUCGGGUCGUAAAACUCUGUUGUUAGGGAAGAACAAGUGCUAGUUGAAUAAGCUGGCACCUUGACGGUACCUAACCAGAAAGCCACGGCUAACUACGUGCCAGCAGCCGCGGUAAUACGUAGGUGGCAAGCGUUAUCCGGAAUUAUUGGGCGUAAAGCGCGCGCAGGUGGUUUCUUAAGUCUGAUGUGAAAGCCCACGGCUCAACCGUGGAGGGUCAUUGGAAACUGGGAGACUUGAGUGCAGAAGAGGAAAGUGGAAUUCCAUGUGUAGCGGUGAAAUGCGUAGAGAUAUGGAGGAACACCAGUGGCGAAAGCGACUUUCUGGUCUGUAACUGACACUGAGGCGCGAAAGCGUGGGGAGCAAACAGGAUUAGA
rnacentral:rRNA from 1 species